GAUGAACGCUGGCGGCGUGCCUAAUACAUGCAAGUCGAACGGGGAGUCGCAAUACUCUUAGUGGCGAACGGGUGAGUAACGCGUUGGUACCUGCCCCGAAGCGGGGGAUAACGGACCGAAAGGUCCGCUAAUACCCCAUGUGCUCCGUAAAGAGUAACGUUGAACACCACGUUGGGAGGGGCCUGUGUCCCAUCAGCUAGUUGGUAAGGGAACGGCUUACCAAGGCGAUGACGGGUAGGGGACCUGGGAGGGUGGCCCCCCACAAUGGAACUGAGACACGGACCAUAACCCUACGGGGGGCAGGAGUAGUGAAUAUAGGUAAUGGGCGCAAGCCUGAACCAGCAACGCCGCGUGUGCGAGGCCUGCCUGCGGGUAGGAAAGCACUUUUGACUGGGACGGGGAAUGACGGUACCGGUCGAAUCAGCCUCGGCUAACUACGUG
rnacentral:rRNA from 1 species